AUUAAGAAAUGUAGAAAUUUAUGUAACGAAUGAAGAAAAUACGUUAACAAAUUAAGAAAUUGUGUUUACACAUUAAGAAAUUACAUUUCACAAAUCAAGUAAUGUAGAAAUUCAUGUAACGAAUGAAGAAAAUACGUUAACAAAUUAAGAAAUUGUGUUUACACAUUAAGAAAUUACAUUUCACAAAUCAAGAAAUGUAGAAAUUCAUGUAACGGAUGGAAAAA
rnacentral:lncRNA from 1 species